rnacentral:lncRNA from 1 species
CUUGUGGAAAGAAGUGACUAGGGUCGGGUGCUCAUGCUCAAACAUUAGAUGUAGGUUCGGUUCGGGUAGUUGUGUCAUUCCUUAACUAGGGGUCGGGUAUUGGAUUACUGACUAUACUAGGGGUCGGGUAUUGGAAUCAAAGAAAUUAGAAAUAUGAAAUAAAGCAGAAAAGUCGUACAAUUUAUCCUUGAGAGAACACCUGCCGCUACACGUUAGUAGUUCCUUGACGGUGGGAAUAACUCUUACUAAAUAUACUAUAUGUUGUUUCUUUUUUUAGUUGUCUUUGCGUUUCAGUGCUUUUAGGCAGUGUUUCAGCCUGUAACUACCCAGUGGAAUUCUCACUUUCCAUUAAGAGCACUAGUCUGGUUACUUCCUCUAUCAUACCGUACAGAGCGGGUGUAACAAUAACUCUUCUCUUUCUUGACUUCCCACUGAAAAGCCUCAAACUACGGACUUAGUAUAUGCUUGGCGGUCGUUAGUAAUAGCUUGCCCAGCAAACAAUCUAUUGUAAGCUUCUGAUCUGGUCGACUUGAAUGAGUUUAAUCCCGCCGAGUAUACGAGUUGGGGCAAGUGAAAUGGGUUUCUUUCUCUAGAAGUAGUAGUGACUUCUUCAAUGAGCAGAUAUAAUAAGUGGCACUGGACUUGAAGACAAGAAGCACUUACCGGGUGAACAAAGAUAUUCUCACUGAGAAAGCUAAUGCAACUAGAAACAUAAGAAACAUCAGAAUUUGCCAAGAGUUAAGGCAACCUUUAUGUUAAGUUGUCUACGGAAUGAAUCCAUUGGGGCACUUUACUUAAUUCCUUCACUCCUUCUUGCUUAGCUCUUGUCUAGUAGUUCCUUGGCCCCCUACUUCAUUCUAUCUGUUAUUCUAUUGGUCUGUCAUUCCCUUCUUUCAUUCAUAGAUUACGGAUUCUAAUUGGCCUUUGGUUACCCCGUUGCAUUCUUAUCCUCUGUUUUCUAGCUUUCCUUCUUUAGAUAUAGUAGUUCCCCUUCCCUUCUUAUUAGGGCACCGAGGUGCUAAGAGCUUCUGAUUGACAACUACUGAUUCCACAGCUGACCUUGCCUCUGAUCUUGCCUCUGAUCUAUAUGAUUCUUUAUCAACCCGCACCUCUUUCUCUCCACUCAUAAUUGAACCUCUUUUCCUUGGUCAACUACUACUGAUGCAACAGGACUGCUCUACUACCUGGGUUCAGUCUUGUUAGCACUGGCUUAAGUCUUGGAUUCACCCGUAUCAGGCUUACUAUCCAUAGCACCAGUCCUAGCAUCACUGGGUUAAAUCUCUAACUACCCAACAUAGACCUGUAACUCACCAGCAACAGCCUUACUACCAACAAAGAGAAUCAGUAGCAACAGGAUCAGGCUUGGACUCACUAGCUCUACUCUUAGCCUAUCACUCCUUAGGUUCAUUCCCUAACUACUUAGCUUAAGCCUGUAACUAGUAAUGCCUAGCUUAGUAGGGCAGUGUACCAGUCUUGUUAGCAGCGAGUGAAGCCUGUAACUAGGACCGGAUAGCCUGUAACUUAUGGGGCGCAUUCUGAGGCAUAUGGGUUUGGUUCUGAUCUUAGCAGCUAUAGUAUUGGAUUCACUAGCUCCACUCUUUGCCUUGACAGCUCCAUUCUCACCUUCCUUAGCUUCAUUCCCUAACUACCUAGCUCACCUCUUAGCUGGAUGCGGGCAAUCGGUGGUCUAGUAACAUCCCUCCCCUAGUCUAGUUCUCUUUCCUUUAAGAAUGGAAUUGCCCAUCUCUUCCUCUGAUCUUGCUAAUCUAACUCUGUAAACUCAUACUUAUUGAAACUAACCUAACUCCCAAACAUAGAAAGUAGGCCUACUAACCAAGCUACAACUACUGGACUGGAACCCUAAUAAGUAAGUAAACAAGCCUACCCCACAAAGUCAGUAAACUAAGUAAGUCAACUACCUUCGCAUCAACCAUAAGUCAACUCCCCUCGCAUCAAAGCUAGCACUCACUCCUGGAUGGUCUCCCGUUUCAUUCUUUCAUUCAGUAUUCCUAGCCUGGAGUCUCUGAUCGGUGUUAGCUCAAUUCUUUAACUACCUUGUUUCGGGUCUAUGUCUUCUGAUCUUAGUAGCGACUGCCCUGGCUUUAAGGCUUCUACUUACUAGCUGCCCCCUAGCUUACUGUCAACCCGGCUUCCUCGCCUUUGCAAACAACAAGAACUGGCACAGGGCAUUCUCAUUCAAGAACAGGAACUAGGCUCUAAUCUAACUCUGUAAACUGCCAAGCAGCAGGCUACUAUCAUACCUAUCCCAACUAACAAGCAAGUCAGUAAACCUCGGAUCCUCCACCUCCGGCUAGGCAAGGGAAGAAUUGGUAAUAUGAGUUUGAUUCUGAGUUUCCAUUACUAGAUGCACUUGUUUAAGUCUUAGCAGAGAAUUAAUACCUUAGUUACUAGACUAGGACUGCCGAGUUUGAUUCUGAUCUGCGAGCUCACCGAUGAGUUUCAUUCUUCUACUUACUACCUUACAACUUAGUUCUAUUCUUAUCUUCUUAUCUUGGUAUGAGGUCAACUCUAAUCGCCGUAGCUAUGGUAGUGGUUUCUCAUUCUUGUUAGCACUGGUUGAAGCCACCAAGCAACGGAUAGACAAGCAACGGGACCAGGGCCAAGCGGAGUAUAUACAAGCAACGGGACAAGUUUUGGCCUCUAUAGUGGACAACACUGAAUCACUUACAGCAACUGAACUAGUAGACUAUACAAGAACUGGAACAGUCAAUUCUCUACUAUACUAUACCCGACCUCUAGUGUUAACGCCUACCACUACAAAUACGGAAUUCCAAUCUAACAUGAACAGGACUACCACUUGAAGGUUGAUACUUAAGACCAGGCAAGCAACUACUAACGUUGCGACCAAGCAACGGGAUGAGCUACGUAGUAGCGAAUGCAGAGUAAGACGUUGGGCGGCAUUAUAGGAAGUUAUAAACAAGUCCUUAGUUCGGCGGUAGCUACCAAUAGGGAGAUAUAACGAGUUAUAACCAAGUCCUGUUUUUUGGAGUUAAGCUUACACUCAAAUAGCUUUAUUUCGAAUAAGUGGAAGUUUUUCUCAGUAUUUCCCAUGAAACUAGGAAACUGUCCUUAGAAGUAAUUGAUGCCUAACAUAUUUAUGGUUCCUUCUAGCUUUCACGAUACCCUUACUCUUUUCUUUUGACAACACCGUCUACAAAUACAUAUGAAACUCGGGGUUAAAAGACAGAUGAAACUCACACUUUCACAGGACAGGAAGACUGCCGCUACACAUUAGUAGUUACUUGGCCCGUCUUCAAAUAGUCGUGUCUUGGCUCUGACCUUCUUUCUGACCUCUCCUCUUGAGCUCACUCCUACAGCACCUAGUAACAGACUGAGUAGAAGUGGUUCUAGACCUUAACGACCAAUACAGAGAAUCAAAUACCAAUAGCAACAGUCUGCCCAGCCCUUGUUGAAGGCUUGGAUGCAGUCAUCCUAUAUAAAGAUAAUCUAUCAUUUAGUAAGGGUUUCUCUACUGUGUGUCUACUAUGGUAGUAUAAGAAAAUGAUGUCGACUUUUCUGGCAACAACAUAGCGGCCCUGCCGCGACACAUUAGCAGUGUCUUGGCGAUUUGAUGGAACUGCCGCGACACAUUAUACGUGUCUUGGCCCAUUCUUAUUGUCUUCCCCAACUGACCACCCUUUCUUUGAACCUUUGAAGUUGCACUGACUACCCUUUCUUUGAACCUUGUUAACCUUUGUGAAAUUGCACUGACGAAUGUGUGAUCCGAUACUUUCUUUUGAACAAAUCCAAUAAUGCUGCUUGUGUAGCUGCUUCCCCCAUUGAUUGUGGAUUGGAUCCGAGACUCUCUUUUGAACUAAAAUACUAUUCUGUCUGCGUGGCGUGGGACCUAAUUGAACAAAUACAAUCCAGCAAACCCCUCUACUAGAAUAUAAGCCAAAACCCUAUACUAGAAUGGAAUAUGAUUUCUAAUCUCGAGAACCUAUAAUAGGAAAUGAUAGCAUGAUACUUGCCUCGAAACCCUAACCCUAGAAAAGAAAUAAGUCUGUUAAUAGUAGGAAGCACUGUACGGAGAGUCUAUGAUGGGACGGAGAGUCUAUGAUGUGGGACUAACUGAGACACGAGCCCUGUACGGAGAGUCUAAGAAUUCGAACCUCUGAAUUAGCGCAGUACUCGAUGAGCAUCACUGUAUAAUGUGAGCGCACAGUACUCGAUUAUCACUGUCCCUAGCUGUCCACGAUUAUCACUGUACCGAGAUUAGCACUGUACCCGAGCUGAGUGGGAAUGAACUUUGACAAGCAUCGGCUGCGGGUGAACACCCUGAGAAUUAGUUGGAAUCAUCAAUCAUACCUAAAUCGGGUUUCCAAAACAUAUAAUGGAACCACAAAACAAACCCAAAUCAUACCUAAAUCGGGUUUCCAAAACAUAUAAUGUAACUACACAACAUACCUAAAUCAUACCGAAAUCAGGUUUCCCUUGUAUCUAAGAGUGGAAGCAAAUUACUAUAAGUCCCUUAGUUGGUGUUGGCAAGAGGGGAGCUAGAGGUAUGGGAGAAAGCUGCAGGGCUUGUUGAAAGAAGUGUUUACUGACUUGAUGGGGUGGUCUUGCUUACUGACUUAGUUGACAUACUAAUUAGGGUAGUUUACUGACUAGUUUGGGUGGUUUCAUUCGUCUGUUACUAGGCUAGGAAGUCUGUUACUAGUUAUUCAGUCUGUUACUAGGCCUGCAUCUAGACUAGUGGAAUACCGAGUAGCAAGAGCCUUAGCGGUCUCAUAAGAAAGAAAGACGAGUGGAGGUCGGCAAGAAAGAGGAUAAUGGAAUGAGUUUACAGAGCCGGAGUUCGGUGCUCUAGUUUCAUCCCUUGCAUUAGGAGUUUCAUCCCUUGUUUGAUCUUAAGUUUACAAGUAAAGUGGUAGUCCUGUUGCAUCAGUAGUUGUUAGUUGACAGAGCACUAGCUAAAGAGGAUUUCGUAGGCAAGUUAGAUAGAGUUAGUUCGGGUCAGAGUUUAAGACCGGUCCCUUAUUAAGAAUGCAACUCGGGUCGUUCGUUCAAUAAUGGAACUAAGAGGUGAGCUAGUAGGAAAGCUAGGCUUGGGAUGAGCAAGAGGGAGAGUUUGAAGAAUUUCCAUAGUUGCUAUAGGUAGAUGAGAUGCUCUAGUCCAGAGGAUAGUUAGUAUCCCAUUUCUUAGUAGUAGCAAUAGUACCAAGUCCUGUCUUCGUAGAUGUGUUCGCCGGUCCCUUAUGAUUAUUAGUAGGAAUGCCGGAGUAGAAGAUUAGGUAGUAAUGCCUGAGUGGAAGAUUCGGUUUCAUACCAGAGUAGCAGAUCAAGUGUUGCAGAGGACAGGUAUAGUAGCCGAAGAGAAUAGAGCCUAAUUCGAUUCCACAUCAAAUGAGUUGACCCUGGCUUAGCAGUACUAAGUGGUCCACUCCACUACUAUUUGCUCUGAAAACAAUAACUAUUCUAUUUCUCUAUUUCCUCAUUGCUUCACACAAGUACUACUUAGCCAUUCUUACUUGAAAACAUAUACUCCCUAGCACUGGGAGCAGUUAAGAGCGGACAAGUCAAUACUAAUCUCAAGUCAGCAGCAAGCGUACUAAUCUCAAGUCAGCAGCAAGCGGGCUAGUUCCCGUUGUUGAUUCUUAUAAAUGAGUCACAGCAGGAAGAAAUUAGUAACAGCAGUCAACCACCCUAGUACAAGUAAGUAAACCACCUCAGGCGCGGCACCCCCAACUCUGUCAGCUGUUAGAGCGCUGUUAUCAAGAUCGUUUUUGUUGCCAGCUGCUGGGAUUGUGGAAUUACUAGUUUACUUAAUUGCUAGUUAGGGUUUGGGGUCUCUUAGUAGCUUGCCGGUGACAAGUAGUAUUGGAUUUACUGGUUCAUAGCCUUCUACUACCUUGUGGAAUCCCUUGUUGCCAGAGUGAGUAUCGGGUGCUUCUGUUAAGCAAAGAAGUUUUCCAUAUCCGAACACCUACCGCAUAACUGACGUAGUUACUUGUCCCCUAAUUAAUUCUAUAUUCUCUUAUUAAGGAUUGAGUUUAGAAAGAGAUAAGUCCACCAAGGAACUGCUAAUGUUCCGCGGUAGCGAGCUAAAAACGGCUACUCCGACUGCUCUGUCAGGUAGUAAGCCUAAUACUGGUGCUGCUCAGGCCUAUGCUGAGUAGUUACAGAAUAAGAGUCAAGGUAAUAAGCCUGAUGAGCUAGGGUAGGAAGACAGAAUCAACCUAGCAACUAGCAGACUGAUGCGGUGUCUAGCAAGGAUGAGACAACUGCCGCUCAGAAUGGAGCUCCCUAAGAUCAGACUUCAACUAGUGAACCGAAGCCUUAACCCAGUGCCACUGAGAAUGCAGCUAAGUAUUAUCAGACUGAAAGCAGUCAAUCCUAUUCCCUAUGACCUGAAGUCCAAAUCCAGUAGUCGCUUGGUUAGUAGGCCUACUUGCUAUGUGUUUGUAUCCGUGGCUUGGUCUUACGUAGUUGCUUGGCGCUGCCGCUAUUAAUUAGGACUCCGGAAUAACUCAUUAAAACAUAUUACAAGUACUAAGAUCAGGAUGAAACCAGGUAGUCAAGGUAAUGAUUGCCCGCCUAGGUAAGAGAUCCAGAGAGGGAUGAGAAGUAGAUGAGCCAGAGCAAGAUCAGAGGAUAAAGAAUCUAGAUCUGGUAAAGGCUUUGAUGCCAAAGGAGCAGGUACUGACCUAACAGAAGAAUUCACCGAGUUGUCGACUUGCCUGAUAGCAAAUAGAUACUCCAGUUUCCUUCCUUCACUAGGCGCGGGUAGUUGACUUAGUCGGUAAGGUAGAAAGGGAUGCUUCAAGUCCUGUUUCUCAGUGGAUAGUUGGCAGAGCCUAGCCUGUAGUUGUAGAGUGGAAUACCGAUCCUGUUCGAGUUAGAAGUCACUCUUGUCUGCUUGCCUACUUGUCUAGUAGUUCCUUGGCUGAUAGCAAAGUGAGUGGAGUGGUAAAGUUUCAUCCCUUGUUUCAUAUCUCUUGUUUGAUCUGAAGUUGACAAGUAGUGGUCCAAGUCAUCUAUGCGAGGCUUUGAAGCGGGGAAGUCAAGAAAGGGGAGUCAUAAGUCUGAUAUAAGAGAUGAGCCAGAGGUAUAGUGGGCAAGACAAUCAGUAGGAGCAGGGGAGCAAUAGUAGUUCCGUGGUAAAGUGGAAUCUGUAUUUAUAGCCAGAGGGGAGUUGGAUGAGCCGGGAGUUCAAGAGUUAAUAAAGAUGAUUUAAGUCUGCUGCCCCUGUUCGAGUGGAAUCAGUGAGUGUCUUGGCUGUUGACUACGGUAUAGGAUCCAUAGUUAGAUGAGUUCAAAGAGAUGAGAUGAGCCGGAGUGAGACACUCGACUUGAAGUUCAUCAUUGCUAUCAGGCAAGCUACGACUAUACUAAUUAAUAGAGUCAAGGCAAGAAAGAGAAUAGUGAUUGUUUUCAGAGCAAGAGGCGAGGGAAUGUAAAGGCUUUGGUUGCGAGGUCUAGCCUCAAAGCCAGUAUGCCGGGGGAGUUAAUCUUUACUACCUUGUUGCCAGAGAAGACAGAUUGGGAGUUUACAGAGUUAGAUUAGCAAGAGAAGAGGCAAGAUCAGAGGAGAGGUUUAGGGGCAAUAAGUAGAUGAGAUGAGCCGGAGUUCAAAGAGUAAGCCCGAAGUAAGGAGUAAGCCCCUACUUAUUAAGGCUUGCCCGAUGCCAAUUACUAGACUAAGAAUCCAACUAAGUAGUUACAGAAUUGAACUAAGAGUGGAGCUAGUAGGUGGAAGAAUGAAGCUAAGCUAUAAGUACUGAAGUAAAGGAUCGGGUUGGUGCUCUAGCCUAGCUCCAAGUCUUGUUUCGGGUGCCAUAGAAGAGAGAUUGGCUGCUGAAUCCCUUGUUGAGUCUUAAGUUUACAAGUAUGGGUCUGUUUCUGGUUCUAAAGUAAGGGAUAGGCGAGGAAGCUAGAAGUAUUGAACUAAAGAAUGGAGUGGUAGAGUGGACUUAACACCGUCAGAAUAGCUUAAGUCAACAGAAAAAACAGAGAUAUUAGCUCGGCUCUGCCCCUACUGAAUUAUAUAUUCUCUAUAUAUAGGUGAACGGAUCAAACUAAGGAGUCACAGCUAGAAACAGGAAUUACGGAAUGCAACCACUGUUCGGGGCUAGUAAGGGGUGUUCGGGAGCUGCUAAGUGAUAGAAUGCAACCGGGGAGUCAAGGAACGGAGCUGGUACAACUCUUCAUUCUAUUACAAGGGUAGGGAUCGGGUAGUUUACUUACUUUCUUGUUAGGGUAGUGACCACUGGAGAAUUGCCUGUUCCAGGUCGAGGUCGGGAAGCAGCAGAGUAAAGUACUGGCUUUGAAGUGAGGUAUGCUUCAGGAGAAGUUUCUGUUAGUAUGAGUAGUCAGAGUCUAGGUCUCAAGGGAAGCAAUGAAAGCUAUCCGGCAAGGAAUCAAAAACAAUGAAAGCUAUCAGGCAAGAAACCAGAAAAAACAAUCAAUGAUAAAAUGAAAAUAAACCAGAAAACUUCUUUCCCUGCUCCCAUAAGAGGAGUGGACACAUAGCUUGAAGACCUGAUUGAGAGAUAUAACAGCGCUACCGCUAUACAUUAGUAGUUGCUUGGUGACUUCAACAAGGGAGUCAAAGAAUGGAGCCUAUUGGGUGGAAGAAUCCAACUAACUAAACUCAGACUUCAACUAGCAACUAGCAGAGACAAGCAACUAAAAGAGUCAGCCGUAGCCUUAGCGCUUCAAAGCCUUCUCCUUCUCCUUAUUCUUUACCUUCAGAGGAUCCAUUCUCUGUUUCAAUGGAAUGAUACUUAAGACGGGCGUUAAGGCGGGCAAGUCAAACUAAUAAGAAUGCAGUUUUACGCCACAACUGAUCUCUCGUUAAAUAGAAAAGCAAUAGACCUUUGGGGACCACAUUUCCAUAAUAACAUGCUAAUCAAUCUUAUGUAAGUUAACUGAAUAGUGCAUUUAAGAAUAUCAUAAUAAAAGAGAGAAAAGCAGUCAGUAGCUGGAGAACGAGAGACAGGAGCUAUAGACUCAAAGACGGGAAUGGUGGACUUACAUGGCAGGGGUGUUGGUUUGAAACAAACUAGUAAGGAGGUCUAUGUUAUUAAUAAGAUAUGCAUUGUUAGAGCCACUAAAGGGAAGUUUUGUUUGGUGCUUUAGCUACUAGUAGUAGAGUGAAGUAGUAUCACCCAUGUGUUCAGUAAGGAAUUCGUAGUUGUCUGUCUGUUUGCCCCAGUUAAUCUUUACUACCUCGGUCAACGAAUACUGAUUUCACUGGACUACACCUGAGUUAGUUGUUUCAUGAAAUACCUGAUCCGGAGUGGAAGUUAGUAGGAGAGAGACUAGUGAACCAUCAAGGGAUGCUGUUAAAGAGGCAGUAAAGUCCAGGUAUCAAGUCCAGUAGCAAUCAAUUCUUCCUGCCUGUUCGGAGUCCGGAUCAUCGACAAGAGAAUAGGAAGUAGUUUCAAGUCUAGGUCGGGGUGUCAAUUCCAUUGUAGACGUAAAGUAUCUACUAGACAAGUGUCACUGUAGUAGUAGUAGUCCAUUUCGAGGGAUAUGGAGAACCUGUCCUGUCCGAGAAACUAGUUGUCGAGUAGUCCAGAGGCCCUUAUAUUAAGUCGCAAUAACUGUAUUAGUGGCCCUUAUAUGAAGUCGGUCGAUGAACUCUUUCUUUGUAGCCAGAGGUAUAGAAGUAGUUGUUUUCGUUUCUAUGCUUGUCUAGUAGUUCCUUGGGCCUGCUUGGCUGAGUUGGAGAAAGAAGAAUAGUAUGGAGGUGAGAGUUGAAGCAAAACGGGUAUAUAUGUCCUGAGUAGGAAAUAGAUCAUAAGCCGAGGGUUAAGGUUCAUUAUGGGGUUGUUUCCCUUUGUGCCCGUUGCUUGGCUGUAGCCUGAGUUAGCUGAGCAAGAAGAUGGUUCUCGUUGCCAGAGAUAAGAGGUAUAGUCGUGACUUGGCCUCCGCUUGUGGAAUUACUAGUUUUCUUCCAAUACUAGGGAGUAGUCGCCAGUGAAAGAAGUGAAGUUCAGAAUUGUCCUAAGUAGUCAAAGAAUGGAGCUAAGUAGUUACAGAAUCGACCUAGCAACAACAAGACUCGGACAGUGCCCACUCAGACUAAGACAAGGGAGUGGUAGACUCAACCUCGGGAGUGACAGAAUGCGACUGAUCGGUGCAAGCCUGAUACUAAGGAAAGGCUAUAACCACGGAUGCUAGGACUGAUGCUGCUAAGGGAGAGAAUGAAGCGGACACCGACGGGAAUGGAACGAGUGAGUCACAGCCUUACCAUAGUAUAGAUGGUGUCAGACUGAAAUCAGUAAAUCAAAGAAUCAAACGGGAGACCAUCCAGGAGUGAGUGCUCGCUUUGAAGCUAGGGGAGUUGGAUUAUAAUAAGGGCUUGCUUUGAUGCUAGGCUAGGUGUACUUGCUUUGAUGCUAGGUGUACUAAAGUAAAGUCUCUUUCCGUUCUUGUGUCAGGUGUGGGUGCGGAGGAUAAGAUUAAGAGCUUGUGUUAAGCUAAGUAGUCAAUCUAUCUCUUAUUAGGGGAACUCCUGCCGCUACACGUUAGUAGUUACUUGGCCCACUCCUAAAUCCUUAUAUAUCAUAUUAUAGGAUGACUGCUAACCAGAAUGAACCCAAUGAGGAACAGCCUGAAACAACUACCAACUAAACAAAGACACCUAGAAACAAGGCACCAACAUGUGCUAACGAGGCAACAACCACUGUUAACGAGACUAAUGCUGAUGCUACUUAUUCUUCAACCACUGCCCUCAAGAAUGUAGCUAGUCAAUCUAAGACUAAAACAAGUGCAUCUCAGCCUGACGCGGUGUCUGCUAGGUAUGUCGCUUCAGGGUAGUGGUAAAGUGGAAUAUCAAGUAGGAGUCCUGGUAUUUUGAAUAGCAAAUAGUAGAGGACCGGAAUGACUUGCCUCGUUGCUUGGUCAUUUGUAGAUACUUGUCUGCUGCCCCUGUUCCAGUUCGAAAGUAAGGGUAAGGAAGGCUACUAGGUUAGUUGGUAAAGAGAAAAGAGACAGCUCUGAAGUUCAUGGUUCUAGUCUGAAUCCCGGGUUUGAUGCGGGGAAGUGGGUAGGCUCGGUAAGCAUUUAAGUAAGAAGGAGAGGCCUCGGUGGGAAUGUAGCUAUUGGUUAAGGCUUCAACUUACUGGUGGAAUUCCUUUACUAGGUCGGGUGCUUGUGUUAAGCUAUGAGCAAAAGAUAGAAUUGUGGGGAGAACGCCUGCCGCGUAACGCGAACACAUGACUUGGUCAUAAUUGGUUAUAACAUAUCUAUGCUGCUGCUGCCGCGCAGCUUUCAACUCGCUGCCGCGACACGUUAGUAGUGUCUUGGCGCGCCGUUGCUUGGCCUUGGCCUUGGCCCUUACUAAAUUAUAUAUUAUCUUAUUAAGGAUUGAGUUUCGAAAGAGAUAAGUGCUGUGUUCGGGGCUAGUAAGGGAAAGAAUGGACUAGGGAGUGACAGGCUGAUGCUAAGGAGUCCAAGGCUUUGUGAUACGAGGUCUAGAACCAGUGCACUAACAACUAGGCUUUAAACCGGUACCACCGAGACUGGAGCUAACAUAGAUCAGAAUCAAAUUGCUAACUCACAGACUCAAACCAGUGUAACUCAGAAUCAAACAGGUAACAGUCAGAACGAAACUAAUUGGUGAGCUAGAGAGUUGAGCUAGGCAGACUUAAUCCUGAGCUAGCAAGCCUGAUACCAGUGCACAAUGUAAGCGAGCGGAUUCAUCAACUUCACUCAUAUUCUAUUUUCUUUCUUUAUAAAUAAAUAAUAAUAUCUAUAUAAGCUAUAUAAGGAGAAAACCCAGAAUUUACUGAAUUUAGUAGGGGCCGAUCAAGAAGCAAUUACAAUACAAGGCAGGAAAUAGAAAUCCUAGGAGCGAUAGAGUGGUCAGGAAUCAACUUCACUUCUUUAUUAACCCCGAGCAGCAGAAUAGCCUGUUCGAGUUUCUUUAUCAGCAGAAGAAUGAGCCUAGCCAGACAAUAGGGGUAUUGUAGUCAGAGAGGGUAGAGAAUAGAGUUUACCGGUACCGGGUAGUUAUAGACUUAGCUACAUAGCUUACAAGAAAGUCUUAAUUAUAUUAUAUGACAAAUCUUCCGAUAAGCCAAGUCGAGUCUAUUAUAUAAGCUUAUAAAAGAUGGAAUGAAAGUUAGCCAUAUAACUCUUCCCUCCCUUUCCUCUUAACUGCCAACACCAGACUUUCUCACAGGAACUGGUUCUUCUGUUUCUUCUGUAUUGCUAGCGGAUUAAAGUAAAUAAGUGGACUCAACAAGCCCUCCCUGAACUACUAGUUUAAGCAUACUCUACUCUUGCUACUAAUACAGUUUCAUUCUGUUACUUAUACUUACGGGUUUCAUUCUUACCUCUUUCGGUGACUGGAAGGAUGGGUGCUGGUAUACACUAUAAAUGAAUUCUUUCUCAUCUUUAGAUGUUUUUCUGGGGAUUGUCUAGGAAGAGAGAAAACCCGCUUUCAAUGGAAUUCUUUGAGGCUUAGAAGCGGGGCCAGCUCCUCUCAGCGGGAAAGAAAGAAAGAGCUCUACUAAUUGUCUAGGUUCGUUGCUAGGGAAAGAAAGAAAGUAUAGUGAGCAAGAGUUAUAGGAUCAGAAUUAAGGCAUAUGAGCCAGAGGUCAGAGGUGGAUGAGCCAGAGUGAAAAGAGCCUGUUCGAGUUAAGUGAUAGUCCCCUGGUUGGAAGCUUAAUUGUAAGGCUCGGAGUAGAGGUCAGAAAGAAGGUAAGAGUGAGAAGCACCAGCGAGAGUAUUAUUGGCAUGGGUCAUAUGCUAGUCAAACCUUAGAAGCGGUGUGAGCUCUAGGUGUUCUUGUUUCGGGAAGCAGUGUACUUAAUAAGAAGAAAGAGAAGAGUUAUUGUUUUCAGAGCCAUAGCUCCGGUAGAAGAGCAAGAAAGAAGAUAACUAAUCAAGUUAUCUUCUUGCCAGUCAAUACUAGAGCAUCUCAUCUAACUUAAUUGUCCUGUCUUCGUAGAUGUUUUCGGCGACAGACUCAAAGGUUAGGCAAUAAGGCUUGGUUUAUCGACAUGGUAGGGCUCGGACUCCCGGGUGUAGUUCUUUAGUAUUGUUUUAAUUAGCGAUGGAAAUGAAGGUGAGUCUUUUAAUACAGGGACAGGAAUGCCCUGCUCGGCGGUAAUGAAACUCGGGGGUCAUAUUCUGAUUCUUCUCUCAGGAUCCAGCGAGUUGAAAUGGUAAAGUUCCCUUAAGAUAGAUAUAAGUAACAUAUGUGAAAACACCAUAUAGAUAGAUCUUUUGAUAGAGUCCGACUCAAGCGAGUGAGUGAAAGGCGUAGCAACCGAAAAUAGCAUCAGCAUAAUAUCUGGGAAGACGGCAUAGGGCUGGCUUCUUAGGCACUUGAUUGAUGCCUUACCGAUGCUUGGCAGAGAAGAGAAAGUACAAAUGCCUCGCCCUUGCUACAAGAGAUGGAAUGGGACUUGGGAUCUGCUGGGGGUCCUCCGAACAGUAAGAUGAAAGAAGCACUUUUUCCCGAAACUAGCCCUCCUCAUUGCGCGUGGGAUAAAAGAUCCGUUGCCAAUCUAUUCUCUUGGUCUUCCGCUCUCUCUUCUUAUCCGCCUGACCUCCGAAAGAAAUUCCAUAUCUCUGGCCCAGCUUCGUCUAUAAUCUCAUUUAUGAGUCUAUUGGUUUAGCAGAUAUUUCAUAGCUUGCUUUCUCUUUACUCUUCCAUUUCUAAAGUGAGCAACGAACAAGCAAAGAAUCAUCUAUCUCAUAGGACAGGACCAGCGCAAAGAUCAUUAGUAUUUGGAACAGAACAAGCAAGGAAAGGGCAGGGCUAAAGAAGGCCACCACAUAUACCCUUAUAAUAAAGCGACAUAUACCCUUAUAAUAAAGCAAGCGAAGCGCACCCUUAGUCUCGGUAAAGCCUAGCACCUUUCCCUAUAUACGUAAGCUUACUUGAGUUGUAAGUUAGAUUCCAUUCAACAAGCAAGGGCGAUUUGGUGCCUGGUGCUAUAGACUUUCCGAGGCUUUGCCAAAGUGCUAAUGUGGUUGUCGGGAAAGCGAGUUAUGCUAUGUUUGGUUUACAUAUAUUAUCUCUAUUGAAUGAAGUGUGAGUUCAAUGAUUUUCCCUUGUGUGCCGGGCUGUAAGUGAUAGAGUUGGCCGGGGUUGAACAACCAGAUUGACUUCUGACUUAUCAAGCAACGCUCUUGGGACUGUUUGAAGUACUAAAAUACUCGCUAUUCCACUGUUCUUUCUAGGUUGAGUUCGACAAUUGGUACUUUAACCCAUCUAAACACCCCUUCCUUCCAUCUAUUACGAGUACUUAGUUGGCUUUACAACCAUUCCGGAUUUCCAGCCUUGCCUUACCCUUACAGCAACACAGACUUUGAGCUAAGCAGCAGCUCCCGAGCCGAGGACUUGCUCUUAAAGCUACCGUUAGCUAGUUAUGUGGUGAGGAUGUGGGCGCUCUUUCUUUCCAGUAAAGGACGGAAUCAAUAUAGUAUGGGAGCAGUUAGGACAGUUCUUCAAUGAUUUUCUUACUUUACUGAAGCGUUAAGUAUUGCCAGGCCCAACAAUACGUUAUGCUAAGGAAGGAGUUAUUGGAGCCUUAUGCUAAGGAAGGGCCAAGCAACUAAGUAAGACCUAGCUGCAGUGGUAUCAGCCUUGCACCGAUUAGCUCCAUUCUAUGACUCCCCUGUUUCGUUCUAGGACUCCCCGGUUUGAUUCCCUAACUCCUCGGUUUGAUUCUUACAAUUGAGCACCCGGCUUCAGAUCUAACCUUUCUCACAAGAACAGGAGCAGUAGCAAAGCCUUACUUAUUAGCUUAAUCCUUAUUGUCCUAUCUCUUUAUUCAAACAGAAACUCCUGCCUGCCCGGCCCCUCGCCCUAGGUCGAUUAACUUAACUACUACUGUUGGAAUGCUACCACUACUACAAGGACUUAGCCAAUAAAUAUAUAAUGAGAGAAUGCUACUUUAGGGGGUCUUAUACAGCUCAAGCCUUGCUUACUGGAGGAGCUCUUCUGUAGGAUAGUGCUUUAACUCACAUUAUUCUAAUAAUUAGUACGUUGCUAUUAUUAUUUGAACUCAUGACAUAGAAUACAACCAGCGCUAACACGACUUUAGCUCAUAACAUAGAAUACAACUAGCGAUAACAAGAUGAUAACUCAGAAGUAGGACUCAGUUCGGAAGUAGGAUUGCACCCAAUAAGUCCAAAAUGGGCAAUGGGAGGUGCGCAGACAGAAUGAACUCUAGCAGUAACAGGCUUUCAAGUGUGAGGUAACGAACGAAAUAGGGAAAGUAGGAAUCAAACCUCACUUAAAGAGUGAAAAGGGAAGGCAUUGGUUCAGAAGCUUAAGCAGGGGAAUCUUACUCUCAAUACGGAGAACUCAACCUAGUAUAGUAGUCCCGGCCACCAAGCUUAGUAUAGACAAGUAUGCAUAUAGGGAUUACACUAGCGCUGACAAGGUUUUAACAGGGCACUAAUAAGAAUGGAACACUGCCCCAACGGACUAAACUAUUAUUAUCUAUUAUAUGAUAGACUGAAACACUGCACUAACGAAUCGAACUACUUAUAGAAAGAAUUGAACAGUGACCUAAUGGCUUCAACUCAAAAGAUUUAAUUGCACUGGGCAGUCCGAGCCUUUUAUUAGCACUUCCAAAGACAAGCCUUAUACACUUAGAUGCGUUCUUUACUCUCUAAAGUCUACCGCUCUGUUGUUUGGAGUCACCAACCAAAUACUAGGCCAUAACUCAUAUAUAGGCAUUGAAGUUGGAAACAAAGGCUUUAUUUCAGGAGGAGGAGCGAGGGAAUGAGAUAAGGGAGCUACAGACUGAUCGACAAAGUAAUUAGAGUAGUAAUUUGGAGAGACAGAGUUACCCCGCGCAAUAAUAGGACUGGAAAAGGGAACUUUUGUUCUGGCAAUAAUAGGACUGGAAAAGGGAACUUUUGUUCUGUAGUGGUUACUUACAUUGGAUCUUUAUUUGUUUCAAACUGUAACUAGUGCUACCAAUACAGCAGCUAAUAAGUAGUAAUCUAUUCUCUGGGUCAUGUGUUCAAACGUAUUGCUCUAAGCCCCCAACGAGGAAUAAAGUGUUUCGCUCCCGAUCUCCAAUCCGUAUUUCACCUCUGAUUCUUGAGUAGCAAACAACGAGAACAACAAGUUUUCUAUUUCCUCAACCUCACUGCUUUCCUUAGUAGCAUCAUUGUUUAUACUGGCUCCGCUCCCGAGCGCAUAGCAAGUAAUAAAUACAUUCUAACAGAACAGGAACUAGCGUCCCCUUUUUGAACUCGCUACCGCUACACAUUAUCCGUUACUUGGCGUCUAGUAGUAGCUUGGAACUUCAUAUAAGGCACUCCGGACUCCUUUACUAGUAUAUGCUUGUCGGAGCAAUACAAGAGACAGAGGAGCUCCAGCAGGACUCUCUGGUGAAAGAGGAGCUACAGCAGUCCAAUCAGACCAUUCACUUACUGCUUAACUAACCGCUACUUGGGCAUUCUUAAAGAGGAGCUGAGCCUUUAUUUAGUCAAGAAAGAUGCACCUGGCCAAGUCACUACAAGUACUUAGCUGUUAGAAAGUAAGCAACAAAAGGUAGAAAACGGAGGAUAAGAAUUCCGGUAUCAAACUACAGAAGAGGAACAGGAAGGUAGAAAACGGAGGAUAAGAAUGAAGGCACCCUUCGCCUACCAAGUAAGUCAACUAAGUCAGUAAACCAGAUCAGUGCAGGAACCUGAGGGAUAGAAGAAAGCAGCUUGUUUCAAGAAGUAUUUGUUUAAAGAGGAGAUAGAGGCGUUAACACUAGAGGUCGAGUGCCAGCCAGGUAUUAUAGAUGAUAGGCUGUGAGAGUUAGAGUAUCAUCCCAGUUUACAGCCCCUUUAAGUAGUAGUCCCAGCAUUAAGGUGAAGGUACGGCGUUUCAUUCAAGACUCGCUCCACUAAUUGUCUAGGAAAGCAGUAAAGUCUCUAGUUCUAGUAGAAAGUCCAGGUCAAGUUCCAGGCCCAACAAGACUAAGUGCAUCUGUUCCAUUUCAAUUACUUGGUUCCUCUGCUCUAAAAAGAGAUGGAUUCCUUUGACCAGCCAAGACGACUGUUACUUAUUUCUUUCCUAGGAUUGGUAACAAGGGGAUAAAACUACUCAAGUCAGCCUUUCACUACCGGUAGCUACCUCUGUUAACUACUAGUGUGAAGCAAUGAGGGUAGUUUCAAAAGCAAUGAGGGUAAUGUCAAUAUCCUAUUAUAUACCUAUCGAAUCAAUCUAAAUCAAUGGUGGAAUAAAAUCACAGCCAAGACACUCACUGAUUCCACUCGGUACUCGGUAUUCAACCAGAAAAGAAAGAGACUUGUCACCGGCAAGCGUAUACUACUUGCACCCGAAACUCCAGGCAAAAAAGCUGCCCUCGCAUCAAAGCCUUUACUUGCUGAUUACCCUUGAAAACAGGAUUCGUUCUUCCCCGGCUUCAGAUCUUGUAACUACUGAUUCUCUGGUCGACCUCUGUUAUUGAUUACUUUACGAGCUUCCUCUCCUUUGGUUUAGUCUCCCAUUGCCCUAUUUCAUUCUCCGACAGCUUGGCCUAUAACCCCGCUUUAGCUUAUCCCAGCCCUUAUCUUCCUGGCAAUAAGUCUAUGUCUCCUGGCUUUUAGUUUGACUUGACUGCUUCUCAGACCAUAUCUCUGGUUUUCAUUCUAUAUUGUUAGUUAUACUCUUCUCGGUUCAGUUCUGCAAAGUUUCAUUCUAGUCGGGGAAUCAUAAAAGUACUGGUGUGCGAACAGGAGUUGUUGCAAUUCAAUAAGCCGGCAGUAUAAUAAAAGGGAAGUAGGCUAGGGAAGUAGGCUUGGGAAGUGGGCUUGUUUACUAGAAAAUCUAUACUCGAUCAAUUCAAAGAGCUAACUAACGCUUAUUUUCGGUUUCAGGGAUGCCUUUCCUCUAUUCUUUUCUUUGUUGACUCUCCGGGGUGGGUUCCUCUCAAUCAAUUUCUAGUAGGUGGCAGUAAACCUUUAUUUGAUUCUAUACUCUGUGCUUGAAAUUCCAUUCAACGCUGAAGAUACAAGUGGUGGAUCACAAUCCGCAAGCAAGCAAGGGAAAUCCAUUCUUUAUAUACGAGAGAGUCUAGCGCAAUGGAACAAACAAGUAAACAACAAGAAGCAAUUGGAUUGAAAUUCCAUGUUGUACCUGAACCUGAGUCUCGCCUUAAACAAGCAAGCAAAGAAUAUCCUUCCCAUCUUGCUACCAAUAUAGGUGCGGAAACCUCACUGCUUACGGAAACUCACUUAGCACUUGCCUCAUUUACAGCCUUACCCUUACUUUCAUUGUUCAAACUUGCCUAAGCCAGGAACUCCAUUCAUAAGAGAAUCAGAAUCCAGAGUAGCUAAACACAGGCCUACUGCGUUGUUAAUGGAAGAAAAGUGAAGUAAGUGCCCCGAUUGCUUGAGUUUGAGUGGCGUGCGAGUUUGAGAGCUUAGCGUAAGGAGUUAGAGCAAGCGUUAGUGAGCGUCAGGGACUUACUCUUGGGGCGCUAACGUUAGCUAGUUAAGAAUGGGCAGUGUUGUUAAUCUCUCUUACUGUUCACAUUAAGCAGUGUUGUUAAUCUCUCACAUCUAAUAUCAUUGAUGAAACAAACAAAGACUUCUUCUUAUUCAUAUAAGUACACAACAUAUUUAGAGAAUGGAAUAAGAUGACUUUUGAUAUACAAUACGAGCGGACUUCUCGCAUUCUGAUUUAAAGUAUGGGUUUGUGUUGUGGGCUCCUUUAUUUCGCAUAAACCUUUCUUUCAGGACCUCGAAUUGCCUCCUUCCCUUCUCCGUCUGCCUCCUAAAGUGAUUUCUUUAAAUGAAACAAAGAUGAGAGGAUCACUAUAAGCAAGAUACACCUUCCCUUCGAUAGGGUUUCCACUCGAGAUGGGGUAAGUGCUUUGUUGGAGGCUUUUCCCAGACGACAGUAAAGUGGGCAAGAAUGAACGAACAGGGGGCAAGUGGGCAAGAAGAUCGAAAGGGGGCUAAGCAAACUCUCCUAAUUCUAUUUAUUAUCAACCUUUCCGCAACAUUCCUAUGGCCAAUCACAUUUAUGGUGAAAACCGUUUAUGCUGCUCUUGCUUGCGAGUCCGAUCCAGAGCUUUGAGCUAAUUGCCUGAAUCAUACACCUGACAAUGAAGCCAAUGCAAUGCCAACACUAUGAGGUCUUUUGGCGAAACAGGGCUCAGUAACCUUUUCUAUCCUUCCAUUUUGUUGAAAAGAGUAUUAGCCAUAGAAGGAAGAAAGGGCUUGCUAAGCUCCCGCUGUCAUUCCUAUGUCGGGUAUAGAAGGUGAAGAGUCAAACAAAAGGAAGGUGAAGGUGAUGAGCUCCGUUAGCUAGUUCUUAGGCUUCAAGUUACGAGUCAGGUUCUACCUUUCUGUAGAUUAGAGAGUGAUAGUCCGGAAAUGGAACUCUUUGAAAGCAGCAUUCCCCUUGACUUGACUUGAAAUAGAACUCUUUGAAAGCAGCAUUCCCCUUGACUCGAUCUUUCAAACAAAGUGACUUCCAUUAUAUAUGAAUAAUGAUGGUAAUAAUAAAUAUCACUAGAACUCGCUCCAAGGCAUAAACUGGGAUUGUCGAGAAGAAAAAGAAAGCACAGCUCUUCCCUAGAGUAGAAAGAAAGGACGAUGGAAGGGAAUUAAUUGGAAGCAAAUGGAAGAACUCCCAAAAACAGGACUUGGUUAUGACUUGGAAUAACUCUUUACUGGCUACCGCACCGAAAGCAUCUAUGGUAAUAACUUCGUUAUGACUGUUACUGGCUGCCGCUCCUUGGCUCGCUACCGCCCAAAAAACAUCUAUUGUUUAUAACUUGUAAUAUCUAUUAUUGUUGCUGACGCACAACGGCUUUCGCCGUUGCUUGUCUAUCCGUGGCUUGGUCGUUAGUAGUUACUUGGCCGCCUAAGCUUGGUCGCUACGUUAGUAUAUGCUUGGCCCCGGGUUUCUUAAAAAAGAAGUCAAUUGGGGAGCUCUAGUAGGUAAAAUGCCAGUGCUGCCUUUUUUCCUGGGUUUUGGUGAACAGUAGUGCUAGGGUGCUCAAACAAAAGAGGUCGGGUCGGGUGCUAAGGUAAGAUCUGAAGCUGUCUCAUCAAUCUGAAGUUGUCUCAUCAGGAAGGGAAAGAAAGAAAGCAGUGUCAGUUUGAUAGCCAGGAGGUAUUGUUUGAGAGCUACCCGCAGAAGAUAGUCUGUGUAGGGCGUUUGUUAGAGUGAGAGUCAAGAGUAAGGCCUUGACAGCCCCGUGCAAUUAUCUCUUUUGAGUUAUAGAUGCAUAAGGCAUUGUUACAGAACGAAACCAGUGAACUAAAGAAUAGAAGGUUGGGUGGGCAGGCUUGGUCAUCUAUGCAAGUAGUUCGUUUUCGAGUUCAGAGCGUAGGGCCAGCAUUGCUACGUGUGUUUUCAUAUGAGAUUUGGAUUACUAUUAGACAACAACUACUACUAAAUGAACGCGAAACCGGGAAUUCACUAGUGCCCAACAAUACUAUAGUUCUAAACCGGGAAUUCAAAUACGGAUGACAAGAGCUAGACUUGGAACUUAGACUUUAGCUCCUGAGAAAAGGCAUGAAAAAGUGCCCCGCCUAACAAUAGAAAUUCUACUUAUAAGGACCUUAACUGCGAACUCAGCUUGAACUAAUGGAUAAUCAGAAUUGUGCUAGUUCUCUUCUAAUACGAUAACUCAUAAUAGUAAGCAUCGAACUCGGUACAAAUUCUUUCAAUAUGGCAAUCGGAUCUUAGUUUUCAAGCCGAUACUAGUGCUUUUCAUAAUGCAACUAGAACUAAUGGGAAUGGAACCGAUGCUAACAACAGGAGAACGUGGAUGCUAUGAUAGAACCAAACUCCGUAUUAGUAGAAUCAAACAGUAGGAGGGUGACACGAGCCAACCCUACCUACCUUUCCGUUUGAACUGCCCGAUCUCCAAUCCUUAUUUCACUUAUGAGCCUACCCGCCAAGUAAGUCAACAAAGAAUUCCAACUGGCUGCUGGCUUCAAUACAUCUUAUCCCACAUCUCUGGCUCCUCUCCUAUACCUAUGGCUCUGUCAACUCAUUUAUCUUUCAACAAGCCCAGCAGCAGGCUACCGAGCACAUAGUCAGUCAGAAGCCAAGACUCUUCACUCGAGACAAAGAAUCAAACUACUAAGUAUAAGACUCAGAAUGACACAAGCUGAGGGCAACAACCUCUUACCUAAGCUAAGUCAACUAUACCUCUGAUCUUGC